AGCAUUAUUAAACCAUCUAAGCAUGCUGGGUCUCAACCACAAAAUUUAAUUUUCCCUACUGCAGGGACUAAUCAACUACCACAGGCUUUAAGACCUGAGGAGACUGUUUUUAUCUUUUUUGUUUUCUUUCAAAGACUGAAGUGGAGUUAAUUUUACAGUUUUGACUAUCCUCAGGGUUACUAACAGUGACAGAAAUUUAGCUUGAUGAGAAACAGAUAAGAGAUGGAAUUUAUGCUUAUGCUAGGUCAUAAAUAAAGAUAAAAGGAGCUAGGUAAUUAACAGCACCUCUGUAAGUAGGGUUGGAAGACCCCACUUCCUCUUGAAUGAAGCAAAAAAGACCAAAGGAAAGCAAGGCAUGCUGAAUGGCGUCAGCAGUUACCUCCUUCAUUGGCUGAAAGUGGGUUUCUCUGCCCCUGCACCUGCUUCCAGUUUUGGCUUCUUGGCAACGAUGCUUACAGAGACAUCAGCUGGCAGUGGCAAACUGCUAAAAGCUCCCCUGCAAUGCAGCUUUGCAAAUGCCAGCCAUUUAUCCACUGGUGCAUGCCAGCUUAACACAAGGUCUGUCUCCCUCUCCCUCCUCUCCUCUGAGGUUUCACUUCCAAAUGACAGUAAAGGAUCCAAGUAGUGGCCUAGCUCUUUGAGUACCCAUUAAAUGUGGUCACUUCCAUUUACUAUGGUUGUAAUAUUUUGAUCCAAAGAGUGUUGCAGAGAAUUUGAAUGGUUGUACAGUUUAUCCUAUGAAGAAAUAGUUAUUGGACAAGGGUUUGGUUUUUUUUUGUUUUUCUUUCUACCAUAUGGUGGGAUAGUAGUUGAGCUCUGAGUUUUCCUUUUUCUUUUUCAGUUUCUUGAGAGCUGGGUGCCCAAAAUACUAAACAGAAAACCUAGAAUAGUUAGGGACAAAAAGGGUAGCUGCGAACUUAUCUACGUAGCACAAAUGGGCUGUUCUGAUGCAGCCUCAGAUACUUCUGGCCAAAAUUCUGUUCUCUAAUACAUUGGUAUAAGUCCAUAGUAUCUACCUGCCUCAACUUCAUUGGAGUUACCCUGGAUUUAUACAAAUGUCACAGAAAGCAAAAUUGGCCCCAACUUUACCUUUACAAUUUAUUGCAUUUUUUCAGCAGAAAGUAAGAAAGGAUUUGCAAAGAAUAUGUAUAUUUUUCUUGGAAAUUAGAGGGUAUCUUUGCAGUACACAGUCUGAAGGGUUGUGUUCGAUUGUGUUGUGUUU
rnacentral:lncRNA from 1 species